rnacentral:rRNA from 1 species
CCUACGGGAGGCAGCAGUGGGGGAUAUUGCACAAUGGGGGGAACCCUGAUGCAGCGACGCCGCGUGGGUGAAGGAGUGCUUCGGCAUGUAAAGCCCUAUCGGCAGGGAAGAAGCAAGACGUUACCUGACUAAGAAGCCCCGGCUAACUACGUGCCAGCAGCCGCGGUAAUACGUAGGGGGCGAGCGUUAUCCGGAUUCACUGGGUGUAAAGGGAGCGUAGACGGCCAUGCAAGCCAGGGGUGAAAGCCCGGGGCCCAACCCCGGGACUGCCCUUGGAACUGUGCGGCUAGAGUGCGGGAGGGGCAGGCGGAAUUCCUGGUGUAGCGGUGAAAUGCGUAGAUAUCAGGAGGAACACCGGCGGCGAAGGCGGCCUGCUGGACUGCGACUGACGUUGAGGCGCGAAAGCGUGGGGAGCGAACAGGAUUAGAUACCCGAGUAGUC